rnacentral:tRNA from 1 species
UCUCCGAUAGCAACUCGUAUAAACAGUGGACUGUUAAUCCAUAGGUCGCGGGUUCGAGUCCAGCCCGGGGAGCCA